ACGCCGAUGGUGAAACGGUUAUCAUGCUUGUCUUCCAUCCGUAGGACUGGGUUUGAAGUUUGAGCAAGCGGUAGGGGUUCGACUCCCUUUCGGCGUA